GAUGAACGCUAGCGGGAGGCUUAACACAUGCAAGUCGAGGGGUAAAUGGCAGCAAUGCUAUGAGACCGGCGGACGGGUGCGUAACGCGUAUGCAACAUACCUUGUGCAGGGGGAUAGCCCGUGGAAACGCGGAUUAAUAUUCCAUAGUCCAGCUGUAUCGCAUGGUAUAGUUGGUAAAGAUUUAUCGGCACAAGUUUGGCAUGCGUCUGAUUAGCUUGUUGGUAGGGUAACGGCCUACCAAGGCUACGAUCAGUAGGGGUUCUGAGAGGAUUAACCCCCACACUGGUACUGAGACACGGACCAGACUCCUACGGGAGGCAGCAGUGAGGAAUAUUGGUCAAUGGGCGGAAGCCUGAACCAGCCAUGCCGCGUGCAGGAUGACGGCCCUACGGGUUGUAAACUGUCCGUUUUCCCCGGGGCGAACUAACCCCCUCGCGAGGGGGGAUGCCGGUACCGGGGGAAUAAGGAUCGGCUAACUCCGUG
rnacentral:rRNA from 1 species